ACAGGGGGCGGUAGGAGGAUACAAGGCUCAGCCUCCUCUCUAGGCCACUCCCCCAUCUUCCUGGAGAGGAAGGUUAUGGCCAGUCACUCCAUGGCCUAUGAUGGAAGUUCGAGUGGAAACUCGUCCCCAGAGCUGCCCAGAAAAGACUACGGACCGUCCAGAGGCCGAAGCCAGAGCAGAGG